GACGAACGCUGGCGGCGUGCUUAACACAUGCGAGUCGUGCGGUAAGGCCCUUUCGGGGGUACACGAGCGGCGCACGGGUGAGUAACACGUGAGCAACCUGCCCUUCACUUUGGGAUAACUGCCGGAAACGGUGGCUAAUACCGGAUAUGACUUCCUCACGCAUGUGGGGUGGUGGAAAGCCUUCGGGUGGUGGGGGAUGGGCUCGCGGUCUAUCAGCUUGUUGGUGGGGUGAUGGCCUACCAAGGCUUCGACGGGUAGCCGGCCUGAGAGGGUGACCGGCAACACUGGGACUGAGACACGGCCCGGAUUCCUACGGGCAUCAGCAGUGGGGAAUCUUGGACAAUGGGCGGAAGCCUGAUCCAGCAACGCCGCGUGAGGGAUGACGGCCUUCGGGUUGUAAACCUCUUUCGCCUGCGACGAAGCGAGAGUGACGGUAGCAGGUAAAGAAGCACCGGCCAACUACGUG
rnacentral:rRNA from 1 species